rnacentral:tRNA from 1 species
CGGAUGUAGCCAAGUGGAUCAAGGCAGUGGAUUGUGC